rnacentral:rRNA from 1 species
GAUGAACGCUGGCGGCGUGCCUAAUACAUGCAAGUCGAGCGAACAGACGAGGAGCUUGCUCCUCUGACGUUAGCGGCGGACGGGUGAGUAACACGUGGAUAACCUACCUAUAAGACUGGGAUAACUUCGGGAAACCGGAGCUAAUACCGGAUAACAUGUUGAACCGCAUGGUUCAACAGUGAAAGACGGUUUUGCUGUCACUUAUAGAUGGAUCCGCGUCGCAUUAGCUAGUUGGUAAGGUAACGGCUUACCAAGGCAACGAUGCGUAGCCGACCUGAGAGGGUGACCGGCCACACUGGAACUGAGACACGGUCCAGACUCCUACGGGAGGCAGCAGUAGGGAAUCUUCCGCAAUGGGCGAAAGCCUGACGGAGCAACGCCGCGUGAGUGAAGAAGGUCUUCGGAUCGUAAAACUCUGUUAUUAGGGAAGAACAAAUGUGUAAGUAACUAUGCACGUCUUGACGGUACCUAAUAAGAAAGCCACGGCUAACUACGU